GCUGACGUAGCUUAGUGGUUAUGGCAAUGCGCUCUCCCCUGGGAGACUAAGGUUCAAAUCCUGGGUUGGCA